rnacentral:rRNA from 1 species
CUUCACCUACGGGGCGCAGCAGUGAGGAAUAUUGGUCAAUGGACGCAAGUCUGAACCAGCCAUGCCGCGUGCAGGAUGACGGCUCUAUGAGUUGUAAACUGCUUUUGUACGAGGGUAAACCCCGAUACGUGUAUCGGGUUGAAAGUAUCGUACGAAUAAGGAUCGGCUAACUCCGUGCCAGCAGCCGCGGUAAUACGGAGGAUCCGAGCGUUAUCCGGAUUUAUUGGGUUUAAAGGGUGCGCAGGCGGAAUGUCAAGUCAGCGGUAAAAUUUCGGGGCUCAACCCCGUACUGCCGUUGAAACUGC